rnacentral:rRNA from 1 species
GACGAACGCUGGCGGCGUGCUUAACACAUGCAAGUCGAACGGAAAGGCCCUGCUUUUGUGGGGUGCUCGAGUGGCGAACGGGUGAGUAACACGUGAGUAACCUGCCCUUGACUUUGGGAUAACUUCAGGAAACUGGGGCUAAUACCGGAUAGGAGCUCCUGCUGCAUGGUGGGGGUUGGAAAGUUUCGGCGGUUGGGGAUGGACUCGCGGCUUAUCAGCUUGUUGGUGGGGUAGUGGCUUACCAAGGCUUUGACGGGUAGCCGGCCUGAGAGGGUGACCGGCAACAUGGGGACGGAGAAACGGCCCAGACUCCGACGGGAGGAAGCGGUGGGGAAAAUUGCACAAGGGGCGAAAGCUGGAGGCAGCAACGCCGCGGGCGGGAUGACGGCCUUCGGGUGGUAAACCGCUUUCGCCGGUGACGAGGCGGGAGUGACGGUAAUGGGUAAAGAAGCACCGGCUAACUACGU